rnacentral:rRNA from 1 species
GAUGAACGCUAGCGGCAGGCCUAAUACAUGCAAGUCGAACGGUGUCUUCGGACAUAGUGGCGCACGGGUGCGUAACACGUAUGCAACCUAGCUUACAUUGGGGGAUAGCCUUUCGAAAGGGAGAUUAAUACCGCAUAAGACAGUAGCUGGGCAUCCAGCAGCUGUUAAAGAUUUAUCGAUGUAAGCUGGGCAUGCUUCCAAUUAGCUAGUUGGUGAGGUAACGGCUCACCAAGGCAAUGAUUGGUAGGGGAACUGAGAGGUCAAUCCCCCACACUGGCACUGAGAUCCGGGCCGGACUUCUACGGGAGGCAUCAGUAGGGAACAUUGGGCAAUGGACGCAAGUCUGACCCGGCCAUGCCGCGUGCAGGAUGAAGGCGUUAUGCGUCGUAAACUGCUUUUAUACAGGAAGAAACGACUCUUGCGAGAGGCAUUGACGGUACUGUAUGAAUAAGCACCGGCUAACUCCGUGCCAGCCGCCGCCGUAACAC